UACAGAGGGUGCAAGCGUUGUUCGGAAUCAUUGGGCGUAAAGGGCGCGUAGGCGGCCUUGUAAGUCGGAUGUGAAAGCCCAGGGCUCAACCUUGGAAGUGCAUCCGAAACUGCAGGGCUCGAAUCUCGGAGAGGGUGGUGGAAUUCCCAGUGUAGAGGUGAAAUUCGUAGAUAUUGGGAGGAACACCGGUGGCGAAGGCGACCACCUGGACGAAGAUUGACGCUGAGGCGCGAAAGCGUGGGGAGCAAACAGG
rnacentral:rRNA from 1 species